GACGAACGCUGGCGGCGUGCUUAACACAUGCAAGUCGAACGGAAAGGCCCUGCUUUUGUGGGGUGCUCGAGUGGCGAACGGGUGAGUAACACGUGAGUAACCUGCCCUUGACUUUGGGAUAACUUCAGGAAACUGGGGCUAAUACCGGAUAGGAGCUCCUGCUGCAUGGUGGGGGUUGGAAAGUUUCGGCGGUUGGGGAUGGACUCGCGGCUUAUCAGCUUGUUGGUGGGGUAGUGGCUUACCAAGGCUUUGACGGGUAGCCGGCCUGGGAGGGUGACCGGCCACAUUGGGAUUGAGAUGCGGCCCAGACUCCUACGGGAGGCAGCAGUGGGGAAUAUUGCACAAUGGGCGGAAGCCUGAUGCAGCAACGCCGCGUGCGGGAUGACGGCCUUCGGGUUGUAAACCGCUUUCGCCUGUGACGAAGCGUGAGUGACGGUAAUGGGUAAAGAAGCACCGGCUAACUACGUG
rnacentral:rRNA from 1 species